UACGUAGGCUGCAAGCGUUAAUCGGAAUUACUGGGCGUAAAGCGUGCGCAGGCGGUUUUGUAAGUCUGACGUGAAAGCCCCGGGCUCAACCUGGGAAUUGCGUUGGAGACUGCAAGGCUUGAAUCUGGCAGAGGGGGGUAGAAUUCCACGUGUAGCAGUGAAAUGCGUAGAGAUGUGGAGGAACACCGAUGGCGAAGGCAGCCCCCUGGGUCAAGAUUGACGCUCAUGCACGAAAGCGUGGGGAGCAAACAGG
rnacentral:rRNA from 1 species